rnacentral:rRNA from 1 species
UACGUAGGGUGCGAGCGUUAAUCGGAAUUACUGGGCGUAAAGGGCUCGUAGGCGGCCAACUAAGUCGGAUGUGAAAUCCCCAGGCUCAACUUGGGAACUGCAUCCGAUACUGGAUGGCUUGAAUUCGGGAGAGGGAUGCAGAAUUCCAGGUGUAGCGGUGAAAUGCGUAGAUAUCUGGAGGAAUACCGGUGGCGAAGGCGGCAUCCUGGACCGACAUUGACGCUGAGGAGCGAAAGCUAGGGGAGCAAACGGG